rnacentral:rRNA from 1 species
GACGGAGGGUGCGAGCGUUGUCCGGAAUCACUGGGCGUAAAGGGCGCGUAGGUGGCUCAUUAAGUGGCUGGUGAAAUCCCGGGGCUCAACUCCGGGGCUGCCCGUCAGACUGGUGGGCUCGAGCACGGUAGAGGCAGAUGGAAUUCCCGGUGUAGCGGUGGAAUGCGUAGAGAUCGGGAAGAAUACCAGUGGCGAAGGCGUUCUGCUGGACCGUUGCUGACACUGAGGCGCGACAGCGUGGGGAGCAAACAGG